rnacentral:rRNA from 1 species
AGCGAACGCUGGCGGCAGGCCUAACACAUGCAAGUCGAACGAACCUUUCGGGGUUAGUGGCGGACGGGUGAGUAACACGUGGUAACGUGCCUUUAGGUUCGGAAUAACUCAGGGAAACUUGUGCUAAUACCGCAUGUGCCCUUCGGGGGAAAGAUUCAUCGCCUUUCGAGCGGCCCGCGUCCGAUUAGCUAGUUGGUUGAGGUAAUGGCUCACCAGGGCGACGCUCAGUAGCUGGUCUGAGAGGACUAUCAGCCACAUUGGGACUGAGACACGGCCCAACCGCCUACGGGAGGGAGCGGUGGGGAAGCUAGCGAGAGGCGCGAAAGCCUGACGUAGCCGUGCCGCGUGAAUGACGAAGGUGGUAGGAUUGGAAAAUUCUUGCUGCGGGGAAGAUAAUGACGGUACCUGGAGAAGAAGGCCCGGCUAACUGCGUC